GGGGUGUGACACUCUAAUCUUUUUGGAAUCAGUUCAAAAGAUUCAAAAAGAUUCGAAAAGAUUCGAGGUGAUUCGGCGGGAUUAACAGAAAAACAGGCGGCCGUCAGUCAUUUCCAAAAUACUGGAUCAUUUCGUCCAGUGUUUGUUUUGAUUUUGUAUAAGAAGCCGAUCGGAUUGCUGACCAUGGGAAAGAAAAUUGUUUUCCAUUUGGUGGACUGAAAGCCCAGCAAUGCGCCCGAUUAAUGUGCCGUCGUUGAAUCUGCACCGUGAGUAGCCGAUGCCAAAGGUAUACCUACGCGACGACAAGGAUCCGCGUAGUAGAAGAAGGUCCGUCGCGAUCGAUUCCACCGCCUCCACCAGCAGAGCGGGCUCAAUACCGAAACUCCCGAAUCAAACCGAACCGGAUGGGUACCGGAGUACCCUGUGGAGGUACGUCAGCCAAAUCCACCAGGCACCAACAAGCACAAGGAAAAUGCCGAAAUGGUUUCCAGUCGGUCGGACUCACCGUCUGCUCAUGAAAAGCAACUAUGAUGAACGUAUUGGUGACGGUAUUCCCGUCUGUUUGGUUGCAGUGAUGGAAUAAUAUUCAGAUUAUCUGUCUGCUGAAGUCCUGGAAUUGGCAGGUGAUUACCGCUCGUGAUAACAAGAAGCCCCGAAUCACGAAUGACUGAAGCAUUAGUGCUCUAACGAACCGUAGAAACCUUGAUGGGAAUAGUCGCAGCUGAACCAUCCCCGCAAAAAGGCUUCCAUAUCGCAACGGUUUAAUCAACAUGGGCAUUCCAAUUAAUCUGAACUGCGGCUGGUGGGAGGUUUGUUCCUGUGAGGAGUCAUCGCGAACAUAGGUAAUCCUUAGAAACUGCCAUAGAUAGUUCAGCACCAAAAUAUGAUAAAGGAAUAAAGCGAGCGAGUAUGAUAUAAAAUGA